AUUGAGCAGUCUAUUCUUAGGUAGGGAUAAAUUACUUUAAAAGAAAUUAACCCCACAUUAGUUUUCUUUAAAUCAAGUGUCUUCU
rnacentral:pre_miRNA from 1 species